UCUCUUUUGUUCCUAUGUGGUUCAUAAGCAAUUCGGUGGUGAUUUAUCUUAGGUUUUGAUCCCUCAAUCAUCCCUAGAGUAAUCCAAUCAUCAAUUGAUGGUUUCAUGGUGUUAAUUAAGUUUUCAAUGAUGUCUGUAACUGAUCUACAAAGUUUGAGGUCGUGAGGGUUAGAGAUGAGUUCGAAACGAAAAGAUCAAGAAAUCCCGUUUUUACAUACCACAGCCCAGAAAACAUCCGAUCACCGGAGAUUGAACCGUCGGAUCAUCUUGAUUUUUGGACUGUAGCUUCCUGACAUAUAGGUGAAGAUUUUCAACCGUUGAAUUUGUCCAUGGAGGUCCAGAAGUCGAGUUAUAGGGCUGGCACAGUGGGCUGGAAUUUAGUUGACUUUGGUUUUAGGUCAUCACUAAUCAUUCUUUUGAUUAUCCUUCUGAUUAUGACAUAAAGGUACCCGGGAAUACUUUUCAAGCACCGUAACUUGUUAAUUGGUUGUUGUUGAAUUCUUUUAAGGUUAAGCAGGUCGAGCUAGUGAAACACUUAGCUUGGUGAGCCGGGUAGUUGCUAUGAAGAACACAUUUAGUUUUCCCGUUUAGUCAUUUAUGUUAGCCUUAAUGAUGAUUGGCUACUUAUAAUAUGACUUAUGUAUUGUUUAUAUUGGCAUUUAUAUUGGUGCCAAAUCUGGAUUAUCUUAUACUAUUUUAAUGAUAUGUAUGUUGUAACACCACUUCCAUAAAUGAACUAUCCA